UCCGAAGUCAAGCAUCAUUGGGCGCGGUCAGUACUUGGGAGGGUGACCACCUGGGAACACCGCGUGCCGU